GUGGGGAAUAUUGGACAAUGGGCGAAAGCCUGAUCCAGCCAUGCCGCGUGAAUGAUGAAGGUCUUAGGAUUGUAAAAUUCUUUCACCGGGGACGAUAAUGACGGUACCCGGAGAAGAAGCUCCGGCUAACUUCGUGCCAGCAGCCGCGGUAAUACGAAGGGGGCUAGCGUUGCUCGGAAUUACUGGGCGUAAAGGGCGCGUAGGCGGACAGCUUAGUCAGAGGUGAAAGCCCAGGGCUCAACCUUGGAAUUGCCUUUGAUACUGGCUGUCUUGAGUUUGGGAGAGGUGAGUGGAACUCCGAGUGUAGAGGUGAAAUUCGUAGAUAUUCGGAAGAACACCAGUGGCGAAGGCGACUCACUGGCCCAAUACUGACGCUGAGGCGCGAAAGCGUGGGGAGCAAACAGGAUUAGAAACCCUGGUAGUCC
rnacentral:rRNA from 1 species